UACGAAGGGGGCUAGCGUUGCUCGGAAUCACUGGGCGUAAAGCGCACGUAGGCGGCUUUUUAGGUCAGGGGUGAAAUCCUGGAGCUCAACUCCAGAACUGCCUUUGAUACUGAGAAGCUUGAGUCCGGGAGAGGUGAGUGGAAUUCCUAGUGUAGAGGUGAAAUUCGUAGAUAUUAGGAAGAACACCAGUGGCGAAGGCGGCUCACUGGCCCGGUACUGACGCUGAGGCGCGAAAGCGUGGGGAGCAAACAGGG
rnacentral:rRNA from 1 species